rnacentral:rRNA from 1 species
AGAGUUUGAUCCUGGCUCAGAUUGAACGCUGGCGGCAGGCUUAACACAUGCAAGUCGAGCGGGGGAAGGUAGCUUGCUACUGGACCUAGCGGCGGACGGGUGAGUAAUGCUUAGGAAUCUGCCUAUUAGUGGGGGACAACAUCUCGAAAGGGAUGCUAAUACCGCAUACGUCCUACGGGAGAAAGCAGGGGAUCUUCGGACCUUGCGCUAAUAGAUGAGCCUAAGUCGGAUUAGCUAGUUGGUGGGGUAAAGGCCUACCAAGGCGACGAUCUGUAGCGGGUCUGAGAGGAUGAUCCGCCACACUGGGACUGAGACACGGCCCAGACUCCUACGGGAGGCAGCAGUGGGGAAUAUUGGACAAUGGGGGGAACCCUGAUCCAGCCAUGCCGCGUGUGUGAAGAAGGCCUUAUGGUUGUAAAGCACUUUAAGCGAGGAGGAGGCUACUCUAGUUAAUACCUAGGGAUAGUGGACGUUACUCGCAGAAUAAGCACCGGCUAACUCUGUGCCAGCAGCCGCGGUAAUACAGAGGGUGCGAGCGUUAAUCGGAUUUACUGGGCGUAAAGCGUGCGUAGGCGGCUUAUUAAGUCGGAUGUGAAAUCCCCGAGCUUAACUUGGGAAUUGCAUUCGAUACUGGUGAGCUAGAGUAUGGGAGAGGAUGGUAGAAUUUCAGGUGUAGCGGUGAAAUGCGUAGAGAUCUGGAGGAAUACCGAUGGCGAAGGCAGCCAUCUGGCCUAAUACUGACGCUGAGGUACGAAAGCAUGGGGAGCAAACAGGAUUAGAUACCCUGGUAGUCCAUGCCGUAAACGAUGUCUACUAGCCGUUGGGGCCUUUGAGGCUUUAGUGGCGCAGCUAACGCGAUAAGUAGACCGCCUGGGGGAGUACGGUCGCAAGACUAAAACUCAAAUGAAUUGACGGGGGCCCGCACAAGCGGUGGAGCAUGUGGUUUAAUUCGAUGCAACGCGAAGAACCUUACCUGGCCUUGACAUACUAGAAACUUUCCAGAGAUGGAUUGGUGCCUUCGGGAAUCUAGAUACAGGUGCUGCAUGGCUGUCGUCAGCUCGUGUCGUGAGAUGUUGGGUUAAGUCCCGCAACGAGCGCAACCCUUUUCCUUACUUGCCAGCAUUUCGGAUGGGAACUUUAAGGAUACUGCCAGUGACAAACUGGAGGAAGGCGGGGACGACGUCAAGUCAUCAUGGCCCUUACGGCCAGGGCUACACACGUGCUACAAUGGUCGGUACAAAGGGUUGCUACACAGCGAUGUGAUGCUAAUCUCAAAAAGCCGAUCGUAGUCCGGAUUGGAGUCUGCAACUCGACUCCAUGAGGUCGGAAUCGCUAGUAAUCGCGGAUCAGAAUGCCGCGGUGAAUACGUUCCCGGGCCUUGUACACACCGCCCGUCACACCAUGGGAGUUUGUUGCACCAGAAGUAGCUAGCCUAACUGCAAAGAGGGCGGUUACCACGGUGUGGCCGAUGAUUGGGGUGAAGUCGUAACAAGGUAACCA